rnacentral:rRNA from 1 species
UACGGAGGGUGCAAGCGUUAAUCGGAAUUACUGGGCGUAAAGCGUGCGCAGGCGGUUUGUUAAGUCUGCUGUGAAAUCCCCGAGCUCAACUUGGGAAUUGCAGUGGAUACUGGCAGGCUGGAGUAUGGUAGAGGAAGGUGGAAUUCCCGGUGUAGCAGUGAAAUGCGUAGAGAUCGGGAGGAACACCAGUGGCGAAGGCGGCCUUCUGG